rnacentral:rRNA from 1 species
UACGUAGGCAGCGAGCGUUGUUCGGAGUUACUGGGCGUAAAGAGCGCGCAGGCGGUCGUUCAAGUCGAGUGUGAAAGCCCCCGGCUCAACUGGGGAGGGUCAUUCGAUACUGAUCGACUCGAAGGCAGGAGAGGGAAGUGGAAUUCCCGGUGUAGUGGUGAAAUGCGUAGAUAUCGGGAGGAACACCAGUGGCGAAGGCGACUUCCUGGCCUGUUCUUGACGCUGAGGCGCGAAAGCUAGGGUAGCAAACGGG